rnacentral:rRNA from 1 species
GAUGAACGCUGGCGGUCUGCUUAACACAUGCAAGUCGAACGGUCUCUUCGGAGAUAGUGGCGGACGGGUGAGUAACGCGUGAGAACCUACCCCUAGGACGGGGACAACAGAAGGAAACUUCUGCUAAUCCCGGAUGAGCCGAAAGGUCAAAGAUUUAUCGCCUAGGGAUGAGCUCGCGUCUGAUUAGCUAGUUGGAGGUAAAAGCUUACCAAGGCAACGAUCAGUAGCUGGUCUGAGAGGAUGAUCAGCCACACUGGGACUGAGACACGGCCCAGACUCCUACGGGAGGCAGCAGUGGGGAAUUUUCCGCAAUGGGCGAAAGCCUGACGGAGCAAGACCGCGU